ensembl:lncRNA
UGGUGUAGCAUGGGUGUUCAGGGCUGUGUUUUCACUGCAUGGUCUGUUUAAACGCAAAGGGUGGAAGAGUUAAGGCACCAGGUGUUGCUGUGACUGACUUCGCUAAUCAUCUCAGGGGGAGCUGUACUCCGUUUUUCUGCUGGAUUAAUGCACUCUUUCUCUUCACUACGGAAAUGAUUCUGCGAUCAACGACCACUAUUGUCGUCGGUGAAAGUCCAGAUUAAGAAUGGCUUGUUUCACCUGCAUGGAGAGCUCAUUUGACUGCAGGCAAUCUACUGAGAGCCAAAUCUUUCACAUACAUGUUUCUAUGUCUAAAUCUAAGCUGGCUCCAUAGAGACUGUUUAUCGUGUCCCUGAGCCCCUGAGUCUGAGUCUCCUAAGCCACCCAAGCCAGCUGAGCCCAAAGCUGAGCAUAUGUUUUCCAAACAUGUGCAUUUCGAC